rnacentral:lncRNA from 1 species
CAUUACAUCUCAAAUAUAACUCUUCAUUACUUUAGUCUCUACCAUCUUUAACUUCUCAUAGCUCCUUCCUAUCAUCCAUCAAUAUAACUGGCCCUGCAAAAAUGGGAAUAGGGGAGAGGGAUGAGCUUCUAAAGCCCAGUGAGUGGAAUCCAUAAAAACCAUUCAUUAAAACACAUGCUCUUAUGUCAUACUUCACAUUACAAUAAUACACAUCAAGGAAGAAGUUGUCACCUAUAGCCCUCUUCCUAACUGACUCACUUGUACAAUUUCUUUUGUACUUCACUUUCUGAAAACAGAUUUGUCAGGGCGAUUAGGCCUCCUGACUGAGUUCUGAAAACGUUUUGUCAGGGCGAUUAGGCCUCCUGACUAGCUCAUGAAAACAUUUUGUCAGGGCGAUUAGGCCUCCUGACUAACUUCCUGAAAACAUUUUGUCAGGGCGAUUAGGCCUCCUGACUAACUUCAUUUUGUCAGGGCGAUUAGGCCUCCUGACUAUACUGACUCAAUAAUAGGGGCGGUUAGGCCUCCCUGCUCAUACUCUUUAUGCUUGACUCUUCCAUUACUCUUUUCUCGACUUUUCAUGUCAUACUGAGGGCUAAAGGGUUAUUCAACAUUCAUCCGCAUACUCAUCCAGUUAUGCAAUGCAGCAUCUUCAUGGUUCUAGUGCAACAACCUAUUAUCUCAUGGCAUUCAUGAUGCAUGUCUCAUGUUCGUCACAUUAUUAUCUUUUAGUAUUACCCAUCCUAGCAUUAACAUGGCAAUUAUGAUGCAUGGAUCAUGCUGAAACAUUCUUUAAUUUAAAACAUGCAUAGUUAGUCCCACUCACCUGGAACCUCUGCUUUACUAACUUGGGCCAACUCUGUCCUGUAGCUAAACACCUCUCCUCUGAUCAAAUCCUACACAAAAGGACUCUUAUGAGGUGUUAAACAUCUCUAGCAUAACUCUAAAACACCUUCCCAAAACC